GGAGGGUGCAAGCGUUAAUCGGAAUUACUGGGCGUAAAGCGCACGCAGGCGGUCUGUCAAGUCGGAUGUGAAAUCCCCGGGCUUAACCUGGGAACUGCAUUCGAAACUGGCAGGCUAGAGUCUUGUAGAGGGGGGUAGAGUUCCAGGUGUGGCGGUGAAAUGCGUAGAGAUCUGGAGGAAUACCGGUGGCGAAGGCGGCCCCCUGGACAAAGACUGACGCUCAGGUGCGAAAGCGUGGGGAGCAAACAGGAUUAGAUACCCUGGUAGUCCACGCCGUAAACGAUGUCGACUUGGAGGUUGUUCCCUUGAGGAGUGGCUUCCGGAGCUAACGCGUUAAGUCGACCGCCUGGGGAGUACGGCCGCAAGGUUAAAACUCAAAUGAAUUGACGGGGGCCCGCACAAGCGGUGGAGCAUGUGGUUUAAUUCGAUGCAACGCGAAGAACCUUACCUACUCUUGACAUCCAGAGAACUUAGCAGAGAUGCUUUGGUGCCUUCGGGAACUCUGAGACAGGUGC
rnacentral:rRNA from 1 species